AAAGUCGUAACAAGGUUUCCGUAGGUGAACCUGCGGAAGGAUCAUCAUAGGAUUUUAUAGAUAGCCUGGGUUUUUCCACAGUUGCCCUUUGAUGGGUGACUGUGGGGGACCCAUCCUAUACCCAUUCCCAGCAAAUUGUAUUUUUGGAGGGAGCUUGGUUGACUGAGCAAUGCGAGAGGACAUGUGGGGAGAAAAGAGCAAAAACAACUUUCAACAACGGAUCUCUUGGCUCUC
rnacentral:misc_RNA from 1 species